AAAAGGAGCAUUUUUGAAAAUGGGCACACCAAAAGGGAUAGAUGAUGUGGCAUGGAAAGCUGAUGUGGCAUGCUGGAGAGAUGAGUUGUAUCAAUGUUAUGUUUUGAUUGGGUAUCAUUUUUAGUGAUGUGUCAUUGCUGGAAAGACUCUUAAUAGUUUUAUUGUAUUGAUUAUAUAUAUAAAAAAAAGUAAUAA